rnacentral:rRNA from 1 species
UACAGAGGGCUCAAGCGUUGUUCGGAUUCAUUGGGCGUAAAGGGUGUGUAGGUGGCGCGCUAAGUCGGGUGUGAAAUUUCGGAGCUUAACUCCGAAACUGCAUUCGAUACUGGCGUGCUUGAGGACUGGAGAGGAGACUGGAAUUCAUGGUGUAGCAGUGAAAUGCGUAGAGAUCAUGAGGAAGACCAGUGGCGAAGGCGGGUCUCUGGACAGCUACUGACACUGAGACACGAAGGCCAGGGGAGCAAACGGG